rnacentral:siRNA from 1 species
UUGGGGGCUCGAAGACGAUCAG